GUCACCAUAGUGACUCCUAUAAUCAUAUUGUAUAACCACUCUCGUGAGAGGGUAUGUUGUCAUCAACAUGGAGUGGCCUUCUCAUAUCUUUUCAGAUCAGAUGGGGGAGCAAUAGAAUCCUUUAGAGAUAAUAGCCUAACGAAUUCUAUUAUAUUUAAUGGCAUACAUAAAUAUUAUGGCAUUAUGCCUACAUAUCGAUUUUCAUAAAACAUUCAUGUGUCUUAAUGCGAAUAUCGUAAUAUUUCAUGCAUCAACAAUAUUUUAUUAUCAUCAUAUCAUGCAAAAAUUUAAUUUACAC
rnacentral:lncRNA from 1 species